rnacentral:rRNA from 1 species
CAGUAGCCACGGGAAUACGUAGGUGGCAAGCGUUGUCCGGAAUUAUUGGGCGUAAAGGGCUCGCAGGCGGUUUCUUAAGUCUGAUGUGAAAGCCCCCGGCUCAACUGGGGAGGGUCAUUGGAAACUGGGAAACUUGAGUGCAGAAGAGGAGAGUGGAAUUCCACGUGUAGCGGUGAAAUGCGUAGAGAUGUGGAGGAACACCAGUGGCGAAGGCGACUCUCUGGUCUGUAACUGACGCUGAGGAGCGAAAGCGUGGGGAGCGAACAGGAUUAGAUACCCGCGUAGUCCCUGUCUCUUAUAC